AACGAACGCUGGCGGCGUGGAUAAGACAUGCAAGUCGAACGGAUUCAGUCUUGUAGCAAUACAAGGCUGAGUCAGUGGCGCAAGGGGUGCGUAACACGUGGGCAACCUGCCCUGGAGACUGGGAUAGCCCGCCGAAAGCGGAUUAAUACCGGAUGCGGCUACCAAAGGAAUCUUUGGGACGCUAAAGGUGCGCAAGCUACCGCUCUUGGAUGGGCCCGNGGCCUANCAGCUAGUUGGUGAGGUUACGGCUCACCAAGGCGACGAUCAGUAGCUGGUCUGAGAGGAUGAUCAGGCCACACUGGGACUGAGACACGGCCCAGACUCCUACGGG
rnacentral:rRNA from 1 species